AACCUUACAAAUGUAAUAUAUGUGGCAAGGUCUGUAGUCAAAAGUCAAACCUUGCAAGUCAUCAGAGAAUUCAUACUGGAGAGAAACCUUACAAGUGUACCCAAAGUUUAAGCCUUGUGGAACAGAAUUCUUACUAGAGAGAAACCUUAUAAAUGUAAUGAGUGUGACCAGCUUUAUAAAAAAUGUACAACUUUGUGGUCAUGAAAGAAUUCAUAUAAGAUGAAAACCAUACAAAGCUAUCAAGGUCUGUAAACAAUGACCUCAUGAUACACCUAAGAAUUCAGGCAGAAAUAUUCAGACAGAAUUAGUACCCAUGUAAGGAAAGUGAUGAAUUGUUUCACCAAUUCUCUCAAUGAACUGUACAUAAGAAAAUUCAUAGUAGAGGCAACUAAGUCUAUUGUUUUCGAAGAUUAACCAACCUCAGAUGUUAAAUUCCACAGACAAUUAAAAGUGAAAUUGUUUAAAACUCGUGAGAUGAUGUGUGUCCAUGUAGUAAGGACAUCUGUGGAAGGGUCUAAUUACCCUCAGUUUAUAAAAUGAUUUCAUUCAGUUCUUUGAGGUUUCUGGAAAAGGCUACAUUUAUUGAUGGCUUACCACCUGAAGUUUGAAACCUGUUUUGUUAUACUUUCAUACAUGCUUUUCAUUUCUCACCAUUAUGGUCUCAGGGAAGGGAUCCGUAAGAUGAAAGGAGCUCCUUCAUUAGAUGGCGUUUAUUCAUACCCAUGGAACCUGGAAAAACUAGGACAGUAAUUUUAAGAUACAAUCUAGUAUAAAUUUGAGAACACGGGAAGUGGCAGGGAAUAGAUGUAAAAGUAUUAUCUAAAUUAUUAUGCUUUCUUAGGUCAUUGGCCCUUCUCUAGAUUUGUUUGUAUGACUCUGGACCUCUGUUGACAGUUAUAGGAGAGGAUUGCCGUACUGGUGAUCAUGAAACCGAGUAGGCCAGGAUAUUGAGAGAAGGACAUUUUCACUGAGUAGAAUGAUGGGGUGGCGUAUGUGGUACAAAAAAUGGAGCAGGAACCAUGGUCUCUCUUUUGAAAAGUAAUACCUGGUGCGUAUCACAGAUUAAUGAAAAUUAGUCUUAUUUUUGGAAACUGAAGAGACAUAGAGGACAGUUUAAUCAAAAGAACCAGAGUACAAGAUGCUUGUGUAAGAUUCAUAUUUGGCCACUGAAAUUGUAUUUUGAUACUCUUUUAUUUAGAAUGUAUCAUACUUCUCAUGUCCACGUAAGUAAAAUAAAAUGUUUUUUGUAACUGUGAAUGGAUCAUGUGCCUUCUAUUCAUCCAAACACAUCCUGCCUCAUUGGGGUGCUUCAUUAGCUCUCUAGGCUGAAUGGCGUAAAUAUUUUCUUCCCACGUUAGAUUCAAAGAACUUACAAUUUUGGAAAUACAUAUUCAUAAUUUGCAUUUUAUUGGCUGAGAAAUUAGGAGACACAUGGCUUUGUAUGCGAAGCUAUUAGUAGAGUGAAGAAAGUCAUUAUGUUGGAGUGAUCUCCACCACAUAUAAAAAGCAAAAUGUAGAAUAUUCUGUAUAGCAGGUAUUUGUUGUAAAAAUAAACCUCAAAAUCAUACCAAAGGUAACUUACUGAAGAAUAGAGAGUGUUUGAGAAUGCAGAUUGGAAUUGGGGAUACUCAUAGUAUAUGUGUUUAAUAUAGUUUUAACUUUUAAGACAAAAAAUCUUGUGUGUGUAAAAUAACAGUAAAAAAAUUAAAAAUUAUAAUGUAACAAAGAAUUCCUGUCUUUAGGAACAGACAAAUUUAAAAUAUGCAUUUUAAAUUUUCACCCUCAAUUGAAUGUAUUCUGUG
ensembl:lncRNA